AUUGAACGCUGGCGGCAGGCCUAACACAUGCAAGUCGAGCGGAUGAAGGGAGCUUGCUCCUGGAUUCAGCGGCGGACGGGUGAGUAAUGCCUAGGAAUCUGCCUGGUAGUGGGGGAUAACGUCCGGAAACGGGCGCUAAUACCGCAUACGUCCUGAGGGAGAAAGUGGGGGAUCUUCGGACCUCACGCUAUCAGAUGAGCCUAGGUCGGAUUAGCUAGUUGGUGGGGUAAAGGCCUACCAAGGCGACGAUCCGUAACUGGUCUGAGAGGAUGAUCAGUCAAACUGGAACUGAGAAACGGUCCAGACUCCUACGGGAGGCAGCAGUGGGGAAUAUUGGACAAUGGGCGAAAGCCUGAUCCAGCCAUGCCGCGUGUGUGAAGAAGGUCUUCGGAUUGUAAAGCACUUUAAGUUGGGAGGAAGGGAAGUAAGUUAAUACCUUGCUGUUUUGACGUUACCAACAGAAUAAGCACCGGCUAACUUCGUG
rnacentral:rRNA from 1 species